rnacentral:rRNA from 1 species
GACGAACGCUGGCGGCGUGCUUAACACAUGCAAGUCGAACGGAAAGGCCCUGCUUGCAGGGUACUCGAGUGGCGAACGGGUGAGUAACACGUGGGUGAUCUGCCCUGCACUUCGGGAUAAGCCUGGGAAACUGGGUCUAAUACCGGAUAGGAGCCAUUUUUAGUGUGAUGGUUGGAAAGUUUUUUCGGUGUAGGAUGAGCUCGCGGCCUAUCAGCUUGUUGGUGGGGUAAUGGCCUACCAAGGCGGCGACGGGUAGCCGGCCUGAGAGGGUGGACGGCCACAUUGGGACUGAGAUACGGCCCAGACGCCGACGGGAGGCAGCAGGGGGGAAUAUUGCACAAUGGGCGCAAGCCUGAUGCAGCGACGCCGCGUGGGGGAUGACGGCCUUCGGGUUGUAAACUCCUUUCGCGAGGGACGAAGCUUUUUGUGACGGUACCUAGAUAAGAAGCACCGGCUAACUACGUG